GCCGGCUGCCAGCGAAGGGUUGGCGGGGUGAUCUCGUAGGGGAGCGCGAAGGAGCUUUACGGAGCGUCUGGUCACUGUUUAGUGUCAGAAUCCUAGAAUCACAAGGUUGCAAAGGACCUGUAAGAUCAUCUAGUCCAACCACCCUCCCAUCACCAUUGCUACCACAAGCACUGAACCAUGUCUCGUAGCUCCUCAUCCAGACGCCUCUUGAACACUGCCAGGUACGGCGACUGCACCACCUCCCUGGGCAGCCAUUCUAGUGCCUGACCACUCUCUGAGAGAAAAAGUUUUUCCUUAUUUUUAACCUAAACCUCCUCUGGUGCAACUUGUGGCCAUUUCCCUGGGUCCUGUUUGUUGCCUGGGAGAAGAGCCCAAACCCCUCCUCAUCACAGCCUCCCUUCAAAGUUGUAGAUGCAGUGAGGUUUCCCCUGAGCCUCCUCUUCUCCAGACUAAACAAUCCCAGCUCCCUCAGCUGCUCCUCACAAGAUUUAUGCUCCAGACCUCUCACGGGUUUCAGUGCCCUUCUCUGGACACGUCAGGAAUGAUGCUGCUUCUGGAGAGGGAUGAUGCUUCUUGCUGCAUAUCCUGAGAUUUGAUCCUUUUUUUUUUUUCUUUUUUUUUUCUUGUGUCAUGAUCUGGAAUGAGACAAAGUAUCAGUUCUAUCCAAUAGAGGCUGGCAAAUUUAGCAGAAUCCUCACAAGAGCAUUACUUCUUCAAAAAAGGCUUGGUCUUCAAAAUAUAAAGCAUUCUGGGCUACCAAUAUGGAAAAUACAGAGAGGAGGGCAAAUGGAAUGAUAGGUAUUAAGGAGUUUGAAUUUGUACACCUCUUUAAAAAAGCAGAACUCAGGAUUUCCUGGGGACCUGUUAGGUCAAGGCUUGAACUGAUGACUGGACACCUGGUGAAGGGGUGUCGCUGGCCAGGGGAACACAUGCCAUUGUGUGCACAUGGUGCUCCCCAUCUGACCAGAAGAGAUGGAUCCAGGGUAGAGCCACUCUGGGCUCAUAUAAGGGCCAGCACUGAAGGAAGAGCAUCUCAGGGACCUAAGCUGCUUCCCAACAGUGAGUGCUGUAGUGCUGGAGAGCCCUUCCCCAGUUGGCUGAGUUCUGUUCUUCCUGUAUGUGAUUGCUGGCCUACUUGGGAAUACUUUGCCUGGUAUUGCCAAGAACCUGUCUGAAGCAGUUUCAUUUCUUCACAAGCAGAACAGUACUCAAAUGGGUUACCUGAUGGGAGUAGAUCAUACUGCUUUGUUCUAGCCAUAUUUGAUUUUCUCAUAACUCAAUGUGACAUUUCUCACGUGUCUUUUUUCUUUUACUUCAUUUUGAGCUUAAUAGAGCCCUAUCUUCAUCUCUCUUUGUUCUCUGUGCAGUAUCAUACAAACACGAAUUAUUUUCUUACAGUAGUUACUUCAGUAUGUUGUCUUUGGUUGGAAGGCUGAACCUCCUUGCAGCCUUCAUGACAGACAAGCUGGGCUGGCGGAGGAACCAUAUGCCCUGUUUUUCUUGUAUGUGGUCUUGAGGUUCUUUGUGGACAAAACAAUUACCACUGAGUCACUUUCUCAAAACCAGGGCAUUUGCUGAACAAAUCCCGUUUUCUUUUCUGUGUCUGUAGAGCUCUUGCUCUCCAGAAGGUUCUUUGCUGUGCUUCGGUGCUCAUAUGAAGUGUAUCAAAAGCCUGAUUUCGUCCAUGAAGGUUUUCUGGCUCAGAGAGUUUUUCCAUGGACUUCUUCCUCUCUUGACUAUUUGACCUCAUCAUCAGAUACGUUCUCUGGUAACUUCAGAUGCAUACUUGUUUCAAAGUACUGUGAUUAACAGAGCGUACUGAUUAUUAUUGAUGUACUUAGUAUGACUUCCAGGAUGGGUAGCAAUGUUUCAGUCCCUACUAGAUAGAGCUGAAAUCUCACAUUCUUCCUUAACCCAAGAUGAUGUUAGUCACCUGCAGCAAGACAUGUGAUUUCAGUCCUUGGGAAAACAAUGGUGCCGGGAGCUGUUAGGUGUAUCUGUUCAACUUGAUCUUUCAUUUCUGCUUUUCAAAGUUAUUUGCAGCUACUAACUAUAAGCUACUAGGAAUAGUGAGGGUAGCAGCCCCUUCUUUAUAUUGUUGCAUGGGAUGCAUGUAUGAUGUCUAUCAACAUUGCUUUUAAAAAAAAAGUAGUCAUUCAGGUUUGUGGUCAACAUGACACUUGUAACAGCUCAGAGGACCUCUAGCUGUAAGGCAUCUCCUGCAGCUGCUUGAGAAAAGUGAUAAGACAGGAGCAAUGUCAGGUGUGUGUAACGAGAUAGACAUACUGAAAAAAAGAGCGAAAUUAAAAAAGGCCAAGUUGAAGAAGCACAAGAUUGUGCACCAUUUUGUGUUUUACAAGUUGUAAAUCCAGCUCUUGUAUUAUUGACGGCUUCCCAGGUUUUAGCCGAGCCGCCUGAAAUAUGUGACUACUGGGCAUGUAAGGGAAAGCAGCAUAAACUAAUACAACCUGACAAUAGGUUAAUCAGGGGAGAAAAUAAUCCCUCUGUGUAGCUUUCUGUAUUCAUUAGUUGUUUUUUUUUUCUGCCUCUUUUUUUCUUACCUGCUUUUUACUUCAUUUACUCCAGUACAGAGUCAGAACAAACUGUCAGACUUAAAUUACUAAAUUACAUUUGUGAGAUUUGGAAUAAAGAGAGUGAGCUGUAUUUAUUUCACUAUUUUAGCAGUAGUUCCAUCAUUGUCCAGAAGUUCAUAAUAAAAUGAUCUGCAAUUUGCAUGUUCCCUGUUCUGCCUUCCCUCUAGGUCUGAUGAGAGCUGUGUUCAAUAACCUGAGUUAUAUUUUGACAGCGGGUGAUGGCCAAGAUAUAAAAUCCUUUUCUUCCAGAAGGCUCCAUUCACACACACACACACACACACACACGGCCUAAAAAAAGCUUUUUCUAUUUGUAAGAAAAAAUAAAUAUACGUAGAAGUAAUUACUGAAACUGGAUUUUUUAAAAGGAAUUCCAAUUUCUUCAGCAUACUGUCAAAGAUAUGUUGUGGUUUAUUUUUAAGUCUUUAAAGUAUUUUACUUAGUUUUUGAGUGGUAGAUAAGUCUUUAAUAGGCUUCUAGUAAGCGUCUGAUGGGAGUAAAAGUGAGUUUACUGCUACUAAUGUGUUAUUAUCAUAAAGGUAUUGCUUCUUUAUGAGAAAGUGUUUAAAGACUAAUAAUUACUAAAUGCUUUGGUUAUAGACCUUAUUUAGUGAUGUCCUGCAUUACUGCUUGAAUCAUGUAGUCAUUUUUUGUACACUGCCCUCUCGUUCCCUUGGUCAGCUUGCUUUUAACAUCUGCAUUGCCUGAAAGGCUCAGAGCUUGAAUUCAUCUGGCAUUCAGGUAGUUAUCUGUAGUCCCAAGAAACAUGUGGUUAAGCAGUAGUUUCCAUCGCUGUGCAGUAUGUCAGCAGAAAUGAUAAAAUUUCCCUUGAGCACUGGAGAUUGUUCCUCAUUUUAAAAGAAUAAACGUGACAACAACUCCAUCUACACAUGGAAAACCAGGAAUUUUUAUACAUAACUAUACUUUGAGCUGUCUCAUUCAAUUUGGAGUCAGUUUUGCUGGGUAGUCUAUAGAUUCUCUAAGAAGGGUUGACUCUGAGCACUGGUUUGAAGGGACCUACUUGCUGAAAUUGUAUCAGCAGAAGUAGCAGCUGUUAAAGCAGCCACUUCUGUGUCUUGUUUUUCACACUCUCUAAUGUUACAGUAAUUGUCAAUUUCUGUGAUUAGCUGGAGAAAUAAAUAAUAUGGAAAAACUACAUUUGUCUGGACAGUGUUUUCUUUACAGUCCUUUCGUUAGUUGACUUCCCCAACUCUCCCCCCCUCACCCUGCUACAGGAAAUUUUGGCUGUGUCUACUGAUGUAUGUUCCAAACAUGCUUCCACUUACGUUAAUAGCUUCAGAAGGUAAGUAGGGUAAGUGUCCACUCCUCCACUUAGAGCCAGAUGUGGCUGUCUGUGACAUACUGCCUUCUAAAGAAGUCACCUGUAUGAUAGAAGGAAAUCAUGAGGCCGUAUCUCUACUCUUCAAAAAACAGUGCUUAGUGGGAUCUUUCUGCCUUUGUGACCACAUGGGAAUUUAAUACAGCUUCUGAGUAGUUGAUAAUAAGCGCUGUAUUUAUGUUAAGUCUUCAUUUCACAUUCACUAUUGUAGCUUUUCUGUAACUUUGUAAAACUGGGCAAGUGCUGUGAAGGAGGUAUUUAAGUAUGUGGAACACAGGAAGUUCCAUGUGAACUUGAGGGUGACAGAGCACUUGGACAGGCUGCCGGGAGAGGCUGUGGUGUGUCCUUCCCUGGACAUAAUCAAAACCCACCUGAACACGUUUCUGUGUAACCUACUAUAGAAGGCCUGCUUUUAGCAAGGGGUUGGACUUGAUUAUUUGUUGAGGUCCCUUCCACCCUCUGUCGUCUGUUGACUUAAUAUAAGAUGCUGGGCUAAUACUGUACCCUGACGAUUUUCUGACUUCUAAGAGAAAAACAAAUAAAUAGCAUUUUGUAAAUAUCCUUGGAGUAAAUUUAAAGUAAAAUGUAUAAACAUUUGAAAGGAGCCGUUCAUAUCAGCAAAUGAUGAACAGCUCUCUUCUUUACUCUUGCAAAUCCUGGAACAGUCUGCAGUAUUAUCUGAGAUGCAUUAUUAGCUGAAUGCUUUUAUUUCUUUCUUCCAAAGUGGAGGAUGUUACAUACUUUCAUGAGAUUUAAUUCAGUUCUUUAACUAGGUUAGCCUUUAUUGACAAAUCUUUUUAAGAAAGUACCUGAAAAAAACUUUUUUUAAAAAGUUCAACUAUUGCGUGUGCUGCUUUUUGCUAAGAUUGCCACGAGUGCCUAAACCAAUAACAUCCACAGCCAAUCUGAAAAGCUACUUGAUUUGCUGUGGGAUCUGAGUCAUUUUUUACCACAUCUGCCUGUGCGACCACUUUUAAAAUCUGUUGAUUUGCACAAGUAAUAGUAGAUAAUAAAUUUUGUAAUCAUACGUGAACAACACUAUGAAAGGUGUAAACAGCACAAGGCAGUCUGUGACAUGGCAUGUAAACAUGCCUUGCUGGGGAUUAAGACUGACUCAGGAAGCUUCAUCCUACCCCUGUUAGACAUAGGCAGUGACUGCUCUCUGUCCUUGUCUAAACAAGUUCCAGGAUUCCCUUAGAGCAACUAGGAACUCAGAGGUAUCUCAAAUGAAAUGAUGCUUAAAUUUGGAAAGUGUUGCUAUUGAGUAUGCGACCCCUACUGCUGUAGUUUAAGUAGUAAGAAUGUCUCCCCACAUUUCAGAAUUUCAUCAAAACAAGGUGGAGCCCAAUCUGAUGCAUGGCACCUAAUGAAUAAGAUGCAGGGUUAUAACCAAAGCAUACAAAUUUAUUUGCAGUGUUUGAUUGGAGGAUGAAUCCUAUUAUAAAUCCUAUUAUAAAAUUCCAAACUGGGAUUUGGAUAUUUUUUGUAAAAUUGCUGAUGGAUUCUGUUCAGGAGCUCUCUGACAUUUUGCAUUCUCAUUUCUUUCACAUAUCAACAAGAGUUGGAUCAGGCCUCGGACAGGAUUAAGAACAUCAGGAGGGCAUGAGGAAAACAAGUUGAGUUUUUUUCUGUUGUAAGCUUGAUGUUCGUAAAAUCCAAAGCUAACUUUGCCUUUAAACAUGCAUUUUCUCUUGCUUCCCCCCACCUGCCACUGCUUUACAUUUGAGAACCAUGGAACAGGAAACUGCUAGUUUAGUUUAGAGAAUUUCCCAUCUUAAACCUUCUCAAGGUGUGAUUUAGCUGUUUGAAUUUUUAUGCUCUUAUAUGUAUAGAUAUACAUGGUACUAAUGCAGUUUUUGUCUGAAAAUGAACAUGUGGUUGUUUGUUCUUGUGAGUGAUGUGUUUCUUUACAUGGAUGUAUACUGGAAAGCUGAAAGAAGGGAGUUGUUGUCAGUCUCAAUAGAAGAAGAGAUUCUGGAGAAAGGGGCAGCAAAGGGCUGAUUUGCUAAGAAUGAGCAGUAUUUCCCCAAACCUUUUUAUGGUUAAAUCAGUACUUUUUUUCCACAAGUGGUGGGUUAACAAAAGAUUAUUUUAAGUUGUAGAUGUAAAACUUCAAACAAGCCAAUCAGCAUUUGGCCAGGGGUUUCUUAGUGUCAGUGAGAAGAAAGUUCAUCUUUAAUAUUCUUCCCACAAAUAAAAAAAAAUAAAAUUGCAGCUUCCAUUGAAUUCACAUACUUACAUGUAAGCACUGAUGUUCACUACUUUACUAGAGCAGAGUCUCAAUAGCUGUCUAUAUGCCACGAAAGUAUUGGUGCAAUUGGCACUAUUGUCACAGUUUUGAAUGUACAUGGAUACAUCUCUUUUUCUCAUGGUAGGUGACAGGGAGAUAACCUGAAGAAAUCUUCUUGUAUUGUAUUUGUUCCCUGUACAAAAAGGAGAAUAAAUAUUUUAUUAUAAAACUUAAACACUUUUUUUUUUUUUUUCCAAAUGUGUCAUUGAUUCUUUUUCUAACAGAUGAUUACUUGUGCUUUUAUUACACGUCCCUUUAAUGCUGACGUAACCUUCAGUGAGCAUCCCAAUGUUGAGAACUAAUGAAGAGUAACUUGCUGGGCUUUUUCUGAUGAAUAAUCCCACUUCACUAAGGUCCUAAGUCUGCGUGUUAGAGAAUACCAGCUGAAGAGAACUUCUACUGAAUAUUUGGUUAGAUCCAUUUUUAAUGUCAGUUCUGAUAAGCUUGCAAAGUUUCAAUGCUUAUCAUAACUUCUUUAGUAGGAAAUCGAGUUAGAAACAGUUUUCUUUGUAGAUUCAGUGCUGUUCUCAGAUUCUGUUAGCUCAGCCCAUAUUAUGGAAGACCUCCUAGGUUGCAUUUUCUUCUGCUCUGCUUAUGAUACCAUGCUGGAAACUGAGGCAAAGUCACAGAAUAAAUAAAUGAAAAUCAAAACUUCCAAAUAUAGAUGAAUGCCACUUUCAGAUAGCUUUGUGAUAUUCACCCAUAAUAUCACGUGUUGUUGGAACUAUGUAGGACUGUCAUUUUAAAACAAAAUCAAAUGCUGCAAUAGACAAUACAGUGACUGUAUUGUAGCAUACUGAAUUUAUUUAAAACUUCUGGUGUUAGUAAAACCUGUGUCAUCACUGGCUGCUGCUGCAAAGAAUCCUGAGAUCCUUUUGUAAGGAGGUCCAGCACGUUCAUAACAGUGCCUCAGGAGUUGGUUGACUGAUGCACAAUACAUUAAGAUGAGUCAAUAUUAUGAGAUCAAAGACUGCUAUUAAAGGAAUUAAAAAAAAAAAAAAAUUGUUUUUAAAAACAGAAUCUCUAAAAGCUUGAGCCACUGAAUUGAUCUACUGCUAAAUCUUCAUUGCCUCUAAAUAAUUGUUAGUUUGGUUGCCAGUUAGUCAGAUUGCGUUUCUAAGCCAGGAGAGUUGGACAAAUUUCUAUUGCUCUUUAUCAUAAGCUGUCUUUUGGUACUGUUCCUGUACUGAUAUAGCAGCUGCUGCUGUGAAUCAAAACCCACACACAAGCAGGAGCAGCUCUUUGUUCAAGAUAACACUUUUGAAUGCAGUGUUACCUGGGUGCUCAUCUCUUUCCUAAUGAAGAAAAAAAAGAACUAUGAUUCUGCAUGGUUGGCACGGCUUGAAAGGAAACAGUAUCUACCAACUGAUACAAUUAGUAGAUUAUACAGGAAAAUAACCCACACCGUUCUUCAAUUCUAAAGCAAUCUCCUAUCAGUUCUCUAUUUUUUUCCCCAUUUGGUUACUCUUCAUGUACUUUUUUUUCCCCUCGUGUAGUGUUUUACAAAUCGUGUCAUUAUUUGCAGAAAGUUUUAGGAAAUAAGUGUCUCUUAACACAUAUUAAUUCUUCAGUUCAAAAAUACUGAGAUUAUUUAAUUGUACUGAACUUCAUUUUAAGUCCAGCGUUGAAAUGUUUCCAUUAUGCCUAUUUGAAAAUGUAUGAAUCAUAGUGAAAGUGCCAAUUCUGGAAAGUGUUUAAUGUUAAAUAUACAAUAAAUGUCAUAAGGGAUAAAAGAAAUUAAACUCUUACCUAUUGUCUACCUGCUUUGAGGGCUUAACAAAUGAGCUAUGAUUUCUGCUAUAUAUUAACAUUCAGAAAGUUUUUCACCACGAACAUGUAAUUGUUUGCAUUAGAAGCUUAAUUGUUGUAUGCAAAAUUAGAAUCAUGCCUAUGGGUAUUUCAAAUGGAAGACUUAAUACCAGCUAAUGACAUCAGUGUAACUAGUAAAAUUGCAGCAGGGAGAGUAUUUAAGGAUUUGCAGAUUGGCCAAAUUUAUACUGAUGAGAAAUACAUAUGAUUUAGUCAGUAAAAUUUAAUGAAACCAUGCAUAUAUUGAGGAAAUAAAAGCAUACAGGCAUAUUUGUUGCCAUGUGUGGAAAUUGGUUAACCUCUUACAUGGGGGAAAAAAUAAGUUCUGCUUUAUGGGAAUUUCUGCUUAUUUUUCCAGAACACUGUUCCUUCUUUUGAUGUAAGGUUAUAGCCUCUUGCAGAUAGGUUUCUUUAGGAAGUAAAACUUAUUGAACUUGCUGUUUCUUCAUAAACGUGUUUCUUUAUCAGGAAUACAGAGGCAUAUUUAUUUGCAGAAGGAGCUGAGUAAGUUGGGAAUACAGAAAGAAAUUGGAGCAGUUUCUAUUCAAAGUUUUCCAAGUAUUUUCUAGAAAACAACCUCUUGCUUUUUGGCAGUCUUCAACAUUGUCUCAUCUUCUCCAACUCAAAGAUAUUCAUACCUACAGUAAAGAAUAACCAACUCCUUAUGGUGGGUAAUGUCGUGAGGCUCUGGGCCCUGGCAAAACUCCUCUGUGUUCAUCAUCUGGCUUGCCAGGUGAGCUAUGGCAUGUAUCAUAGGUUUUGUUUCUGUUGUCCCAAACAGUGCAACUGCUUUUCACUUCUGUCUUCAGUGUGGGGUAUGACCUCAUCCUCUAAUUUCACCGAAGUUUUGCUUACUCUAGAUAGUAGGAUGCUGUAAGUAACUUCUUGCCCUGAGUGGUAUUAGAUUUAGUAUUUCAGAUCUUGAUAUUAAUCACAAAGAACAAAGAGAUUCAAGGUGAAAAUUAAAUCAAUAUUUUGGACUCCUAAGAGAAGGUAUGGAAUGUGGAAUAUUAGAAUAUGUUCAUAGUUCACAGAAAAUUCUUGAGACUUGCAUGGUGUUAAUAGGAAAGAGAUGCAGAUUCAAAUACAUCCGUACUUUGAUGAACCAGACACAACUUUUGGGCAGUCAGUGGAUGUACGAGCACUAAAAUAGAAUGAGAUAAAUCUCAUCUGUAAAGUUAGACAGUUAAUUCAGAGACUGAAUCAAAUUCAGAGGGUGAGCAUGCGUUCUGCUAAUGUAGAAACAGUAUACAGAAGGAACAAAAGGUAAGCCUAAUGAUUUUAUCCAUAGAACAUCUGAAAGGAAGUAGAACAGAACAACAUGUUUUAAGCAAACAGCUCACAAAGUAACUCUCUGAUACAUCAAAGCUAAUUAGGACAGAGUCCAACAAUUACAAAAGAUAUUUAGUUGCAAAGAGAUACCCAGCAGUGUUUUGUCUUAUCUUCUGAGCAGAUCAUUAGAGGCUUCCUGUUACAUUUUUUCUUGACUUCUUUUCAGGAAAAUCUAUUGCUCUCUCCUCGGGAGAAGAUUGAAGCCUACCAGAACAAUUCAUUUGGCCUACUCCCAGCCACCUUGUUUUUUUGAGGUGCAGUCAGGGAGUAAUAAUAGGCUGAAUGAAUAGUUCUUGCAGUAGUAGUCUGCUCUGAUGGUUGGCUUUCCUCAUUUUCCUCAUCUUGCUACACAACAGAUGUUUAAAAGUUUGAGCCAAUCAAACCCGUUGCACUUGUGCAAAUUGCUUUGCAGAUGUUUACAGAAAUUAAUUUAUGUCACAGAGUUGAGCCAUGGGCUUUGCUAUAGCAGCAAGUUUGGGUACCGCUGGUGUGGCAUGUCCUCAGGUUUCUGAGGAAAAGAUAGAAACUAUCUGUAGUGGUUAAUGUAGGGAGAGAAGGGGCUGGCACAAUGCGAGGGGUUUCUAAAAGUCUCAGUGUCAGUGUCAUCUUUUCCUUUCAUAUGAUUUUGCCCAUGAUAGCAGCUCGAUAGUGUAGGGCACUAUUACUACACAGAACAACAGCUACUCUUUCUGUACGUAAAGUGUCGAUAGAUAGUUCUCCGACUGCUUGGAAAAGUAUUUCCCUUACAUAUAAGAGUGGGAGGAAAAGAGAGAGCUAGCCUGACUGAUGCUUAAAGGUAUGAUUGUUUAUUUUUACAGAGGCUAGUAUUCAAAAGAAAAUCUUUUGGGCCAAACCUAUUCUCAUGCACACAGCACUUGUUUUUUUCUCCUGUAUCAGCCCUUUUCCACAGCCCUCUAACGGUAAGGCACUGUGUGGCUCAAUUCUCCUCUCAGCCAUGGGAUUUCUAACUCAAAUUUGUCAUGCUCUUGGGGGGAAGUGUGUGUGCUGUACAAGUAUGUUUUUCAGGGCUUCAUCUUCAUCACCAUUUGUCAUGCUUGAUGUAAAGCAUAUCCUGCCAUUUUUCUAAGCGGAGGGAGGCAUUGUAUAACCUUUCCAGAGCAGAUGCUUCAUUGCUACUUAACAUCUACAGUCCACUGUUUGUAGCUGUUAUCCAUAGGAAGCCUUACUUUUCAGUGAAAAGGAUUUGGGUCUAGAAAAAUGCAGAUGAUGUCUGCAAUGGAUUCUUCCUGGGUUUUGUUGUUUUUGGGAGUGGGGAAGGUUGGCUUUAUUUCAAUUUAAUCUUCAAUGAUGAAGCAACUGAAUAUAAUACAAAAAUAUGUUAGCUUUCUGAAAUCAAGGAAACUUCCAACAUCCAAGCUCAAAAUCCUGACAGUCAGUUCUAACAUUUGCAAGUAUACACUUGCAAAGAAGAAAAAUAUUUUGACAUCUAGGCUGUCAGAUAAUCUGUGAGUAGUGGUUGCGUCAUUCAUGGAGAGAAAUGAUAACUUCCAGAGUCAUUUACUGGGAAAAUAAUAGGCUUAAUGCUGUGAAAUGUCCUUCCAGAUGCUAGAGAAGUUACCUAGCAUUUUUGCAGGGGAAGUUGUUUGGCUUUUAAACAUGGGUACUUCUCUUCUGAGGAAAAAAAAAAAAAAAAACAACAGAAAAAUACUUGACAGAAAUUAUCAAAGAAAAGGAUAUACCUGCAGACAACAGUGUGUUCAAAUAUGUUUAGAAAGCAUAAGGAACCUCACACUGAAGGACAUAAUGCAAACAGGAAAGGAAAGUAGCACUCAGAAACAUGCUCCAUGCAGUAAAGGCUCCUGGGUUACACACCAAGUGUUUUUUCUUCUGUUUACUUUCCUUGGAAUAAUUUUUAAAAGCAGUUCUGCUGUGCCUGGAAAAACUGCAGUGUCUUUGGGCAGAGGUGUUUUCCUGGCACAAUGCAAUGACUGGUAUGUAGAGAUCUCAUUGCUGUUGGGUUUACAUCUCCCAGUUUUGCUUUCGCUGACAUUUCAUUUUUCUUUGUGAUAAAAAGUAGCCUGUUUCUUUAAAGAUAUGUAUGAGCAUUAUGUGUAAUGAUUCUAGUAAUCAUUUCUGAAGUGCUGCUCAGAGGACUAAUGUCCAAUUUCUAUCUACUUGCAUAUUACUGUUAGGUGCUAUCAGUCUGAGUCCACUGGUAUGCCUGCUCUUAAUCUGUGUUCCAUACUGAUUAAUGAAUAAGAAUUAAGUAAUGAUUCUGGCUUCUUGAAAAUAAAAUACAUCUGUGUGUGCAUCUUAUUAUAUCAUGAGAAAUUAGUAAAUUUGUUACUCUUGAGUAUUGCUUCUGCUAGGAGUGACAAUGAUAAAAGCCUUGGUUUUGCAAGAAUAAGCAAGCCCAGGCCACACAGAAGGGCUGAAAACUUUAAAAGAUUAUUCAGCACUUAGAGAAAGGUGUUUGUAACACAGGCAGUCUCAGCUUUCAAGUUCUUACUUCUGCCUCUGUCUCAUUAGUCAACCAGGUCUCACUGGAACUUAGCUUUCCCUUGGCGGUUAAUGCCAGCAGUAAUGCUCCAUUCAUCUGCUUCUGCCAGAAUCUUUUUUCAUUGCUUUUCCUGAUGCAUGAGAUAUUUUCCCUUUUCGGAUAAGAUGGAUUCUUAGAUUCAAAUGAUGACAUUUGCUCUGAGCUUCACGUGUCCUGAGUCACUUGUUAGAAACUACCAAGUAAAAUGUGUCAGAUGUGAUCUUGGAGUGUUAUACUGUAUCUACAUCAAGCUUUUAUUCUGUUGUUAUUCUUAGUGGAAAGACAACAUACCCAUUAUUCCAUUAUUUAUUAUAUUAUUAUUCCAUUGAUGUGGAACUUUCUUGUUUUACUGCUUUCACUUAUGUUCAGGGAAGCUAACAAAUGAAAACCUGUGAUUGUUUUCAUCCUCCCUAUAUAUUGUUCUGUAUUUCUUCCUUUUCUGAGGCAAAACAGAAAUGAGGGAAAGAGAAGACUGAUAGUAAGAGGAGGAAAAGGUAAAGGCAAGCAAAACCAGGGUGAACAUUUCAAGUUUGGGCAUUUUUUCAUGGAAGCUUUAAUAUCCUAUUUAAAGAGUUUAUAGUUAUUCCAUAUGAAAUAACAAUAGUGUUAUCUUUAACAAAAUAAAAUAAAAUAAAAUAAAAUAAAAUAAAAUAAAAUCUACCAUUUCUAAAGGUAACCAGCUUAGCAACACUGAGGUCAGUUGAGGACAAGUUACACAAACUUUAUCCAUUGUGUCUCUAACCCAUAUUUAAUAUAUUUUAAAAUACUUCAUCUGAGUUGACAAGAUGUGCAUAUGGUAUCUGAGUUACCAGACUGAGGAGUUGUAGCCUUUCACCUUCCUCUCUCUGUCUCCUCACCAUGGUGCUUCACUCACAAUGUUACAGCAUCAGACUUACAUUAUCGGUCCUCUUUAGUCACUAAUGCAUCCAACAUGUUAAAAUGUUCAGUACAAAUUAAAAUCAUAAGUAAUGGGAGCACAUUUCAGCUUCAAAAUUACAUUUUUUUUCACAAAAUCAUGUAUAUUUUUUAAAAAGUAGUUAAGCCUUUUGAAAUAUAUUAUGGAUGUAGUCAUGAUUUAUUUGCAGACAGUUAUGUACUGAAAAAACCUGACAAGUUUCAAUCUUGCAUUUCGUAAACUAGCUUUUUGUGUAUACAAAGCACAUGUCAGCAGUUUGUAUCUAAACAACAUGACAGUUGGCUUCUCCAUGUGGCAACUUGUGAAGAAAAAUAUUUGGGGACUGCACAUUUGUGACAUGAUAAAAUGUAAUGAAAUGUUCAGGAACUAGUUAUUCAGAAGUAUCUCGUAUCCAUACAAUGAAAAUAAAGCAAUAAAACGUGCUUGCAUUGCUAUAUCACAGUUCAGCUGCCUGCAAUGUCUGAACACAUUCAAAACACUCCAAAUUCAGUGAUGCUGUUGUUUUUUCCCAAAUAGGUAUACUAAGAUGUUACAUUUUUAUCAGUGAGCUAUCUUUGCAUUAAAGCAAUAUCUGCAUUUGUCUUUAAACUGUUUAGGAUUGUUGUUUUUUUCCCCCCCAUCCUAACUGCGGUGAGAUGAGAGACAUACUGUAAUGACACAUUCUGUUUGGAUUUUGUGUUGAGGGACAUGGUUUAAUGUGUACUGUUGGUGAUAGGUGGAUGGUUGGACUGAUGAUCUUGAAAGUCUUUUCCAACCUUGGUGAUGCUGUAAUUCUCUGUUAACUUCAGUGGGAUCAGGAGUCAGCUGCCGAGAAGAGAAUAAUAUUGUUCCUUGAUGAAGCUGAGCCAAAACAAGAAGUUACGUACUUUCUUCUAUCUGUUGCCAUAUUUCUAAUUGCAUCUUUCAUGCUAGUCUAACAGUCAGGCAGUGCAGAAUGCAAGGUCAGCUUGCUGAUCCACAUGAAGGAAAUUUAAAAACAGGAUUCAUCUUGUGCUAAUUGCGAGAGGAAAGUCACUGUUGACUUAGUAUAGACUCCAAGCAGUGAGUCAACACACAACCACAGGAUAUUUAAAAUGAGUAUGAUAAGAACUGAAAAUGCCAAAUGCAGCAUUGCUGAAAUACUUUAUUUUGUAAAAAAAGGAGAAGAUAUAAAGGUAUGUCAUUCAAUUUUUUUCUGAUAUAAAUGCUAUAAAUGCAACUGGGAGAUACUAAAUUUCAUGUUUAAAGCAGAAAAGGCUGAGCAGGGCACAGGAAGAAAACUAGGAUGAUAUAGAAGUAGUUUACAUCCAGUUGAAUGGCUAUUUAAAUAAGCAUUGCAGCACACAGUCUUUCAAAUAGAAAUGAGGAUCAUCAGCAAGCCUAAAACACAUCAUAAAGUGCAGUGCAUGAAAAUAGUUUAAAACCCCCAAGCAUUUUUAUUAUUACUUUGUCAAAGAUGUAGAUUCUUUUUUUUAUCUCUUUGUUUGUUGUCAAGCCUGCUGGUAUAUUAAGUAUUUAUAGUAUAUAAAAUAAUUUCUUGUGGGUUUUUUUACUACUACGUCUCGUAAAUUGUCUCAGAUUUCUGUUCAUGUUUGUCUUUUAAUUUCUUGUGCCUCAUUCAUUCUUCUGAAAUCAAUAAACACCAAAUAAAUAAUAAAAAAAAAUAGUAAUGAACUGUGCAAAGGUAAGUAGCUUCCUGGUGUGGUCACUAGGGGGAAAAAAAUUGGCUUUAUCUCCCAGAUAUUCCCAUGAGUCAAAACAGUCAUGCAAAUAUCUGAGCUUUGUAUCCAGGAUUUUCUUUGCUCAUUUUCAAAUUCUUUCUGUUCCUUUCAAGCCAAACAUAAGCUGGUAAUGCUUCCAAAUGCAUACAUCCUAUUUAAUUAAAAAAGUUCUUUCUGCUAUCUCAACUAAGUGAUAAAAACCAGACGUUGUAGGGUGCAGGCCAGACUCCAGAUUCUGAUGUCCCUGAAAUUAUCUUUAAAUAAAGAAUUUUGAAACUUCUUUCUUGUUUCCUUCCUAUUGUAUCAACACAUUCUUGGGUGUUUUCUCAUCAUAAUAAUGUCCAGUUUUUUGUAGUUGAGAUUGUUUUUACUGCUUUUUUUAUCAUUCUGACGGUUCUCCUAGUGUGUUUCUGCAGAAUUCUUUUUUAGUUUAGGCUUAUUUGUUUCACUGAUAAAUAGGUUUGCAUACAGUUUUGCAUUCCAAACCAUGCAUCCUUUCAAAGCUACUUUUAUAAUUAUUUCGAAAGGAGAAAAAAUACUUGGAAAAAAAAACCCAACAGUUAACCUGUCCAGUUACAUGACUCUUGAACAGAGGAUCAUAGUCAGUAAGGCAAACGUGGCAAAUAAUGUAUCACCAGGACUUCAGUGAAAUAUUUGGAAAUGCAUCAUUCAGUUUUGCACUCGGCAAGUAAAGUUCACUAGGAAUGAUGGCACUGCCUGAAGCACCAGAUGAGGGGGGAUGUCCCAGGCUGCAUGUGGGGCAUGGUUCUGUCCUACCUGUUAUGUUGGUAAGUAGCUGAGAAAAGAAGGAAGGAAGCUGAUUUUUAUUGCAACUAAAUAGAAUUCAGUUAGACUGAAUAGUCUAGCAUAUUAGCAAUAAAGCAAAUGCAGGGUUGAAAAUAAUAAAAUGACAGUACUUUGCGCCUAGUGUGACCUAGUGCUGCUAAGGCAAUGUGGUCAAGAACAGAGUUGUUCCAGAACGGUCCGGGUAACAGAAAUGCUGAAUGAAACCUAGGAGCAGCAUCAAGCAAGUGCAUACAGCACAAACAGAUGGAGUUUUGAAUAGCAGAGAUACUGCUUAACAUAUAUUACCUUUUCACAAGAUUUUGUGAUCGCGUUGAAAUAGUGAUUUCAGUUCCAUCUCAGAAAAAUAUUAAGGUGGUAUAUGAAAGAGCAGAAAAUUAACAUGGAGAUUAAAAAUUAUGAUUUAAACAACAAAUGUAAAAACAAAAACAAAAACACAUGAAACUUACUGAUUAUUCUAAUUAACAGUGUCUCGAGUGCAGUAGACUUAUUUAGUUCUGGGCUCCCCAGUACAAAAAAGACAGGGAUCUCUUGGAAAGAGUCCAGCGGAGGGCCGCAAAGAUGGUGAAGGGCCUGGAGCAUCUCUCCUAUGAGGAAAGGCUGAGUGAACUGGGUCUGUUCAGCCUUGAGAAAAGAAGGCUGAGAGGGGACCUGAUCCAGGUCUAUAAAUAUCUGAGGUGUGGGGGGCAGAAUGGCGAGGCCGGACUGUUUUCAGUGGUGAGUGGAGACAGGACAAGGGGAAACGGCUGGAAACUGCAGCAUAGGAAGUUCUGCACCAAUGUGCGCAAGAUCUUCUUUACAGUGAGGUGACGGAGCACUGGAACAGGCUGCCCAGGGAGGUGGUGGAGUCUCCUUCUCUGGAGAUGUUCAAGACCUGCCUGGAUGCCUACCUGUGCGACCUGCUGUAGGGAACCUGCUUUGGCAGGGGGGUUGGACUCGAUGAUCUCUGGAGGUCCCUUCCAACCCCUACAAUUCUGUGAAAUUCUCUAAGGUUUGGUUCCCAAAUCUUGACUUUGUGUUUACAGUUUCAGAGAUAAUUGUCACCAAAAAAUGGGAAUAUUGAUCAUGUUUAUUGUGCUUCUUGCUUAUCUCAAUCCCCAAAUUUGACAGAUGCUUUUCUGUUCUUCUAAAACAGGUUUGAAUAUUCAGAAUUGUUAUGCAAUUUGUAUUAGAGUGCAACUUAUUAAAUAAAACUAAAGAAAGUAGAUGAAAUUUAAAAAUAUAAAACUCAGACUAAGUAUUAGCAAACAUUUCGUUUCUGAUACCAAUCUGGCAGUAUAAGUAAUUGGGUUGUACAUCUAAAACUAGAUAGGAAAAGACAGAAAAAAUCAGUGAUUCAUUUUGUAUUGGUUGGAUGUGGUAGAAUAACUAAUAAAGCAGGUUUUCAACAUCUGAAACUUCUACUGCAUCCAGGAGGUUGAAACUGCAUACACAUGCAUGCAAGGGGCUCCAGAAUUUUACCAUAUAAUUGGAAAAUCUAGCAACUUUCAUCUGACAAGGUAAUCCCAAAGUAUUCUGUUCUGCACGAGAAUGAGGACUUUAAAAAAAAGGAAUCUAUUUAUUUUGAAAUAAAUAGGAAAGAGUAAAUUUUUCAAGAUUCUUAAAUUGUCACAGAUCAUUUUGUCUUUUGAGCCUUGCUUUUCAGUUCUGCCAUCUAUCUGACAGCUUAGUUUGCUCAGAUGGAGGGAGUGACUAUGUGACUUUGAGUAUCUGGAAAUCCAGAUCUGCUGAAAAGAAUUUUUUGGAGGCUGAGCUUGCUUCUCUGCCUGCAGAAAGAGUUGUUACCCAUUUAACGAGGCACUGUCCCAGUCAAAAUUACAUUCUGUUUAUUAAUUUAGAGUCUUUAGGAUAUUAGUAUACAUUUGUUUGAAUAUAGAUGUUGAGAAUUCACUGGAAGGAAAGCAAAUGUCAAGGAUCAAGAAUUGCAUGUUACAUUACUUUGAUUGCGUGAACAGCUUAGCAGAGGUUACCCUGUUGUAAGAAGGGACCAAGAAGCACACAAAACUCAUCAUCAAUUCAUAUUUCUGCUGACCAGAGUUCUGGAAGUGAGCAGGGUGAAUGGAGAAGAAUUUCAGCUUUAUAGCAUGUUUUCUAUAAAAAGCUUCCUUUUGAUGUCUCUGUUUCAUUCUUCUCAUUUUCCAUAUCAAAGCUAAAACUUCCUUUUCCUGCAAUUCUUCCAUUUUACAUCAUUGCAGCACAGUGAAUUAACUCUUCCAAAUCAGGAGUCGACAUUGUAUAGCUUAAGGAGGCACCUAAUCACUGAUUUAUAGUCCUAAAAAAAUCACAAGCCUUCCCAGAUGACAUUUUCAUUUUCAGUAAAUUGAAGAUGGGUUUAGCAAACAGCUGCUUUGUACAGAAUAAGGAUAGGACAUCUUAUUCUUACAUGGAGCAUGCAGUAGUUACUGUAUAUGAGGAAUCAUGAAGGAGCCAAGUAACUCUGGAUUAUUGAUCUAUUUGUCUGCUGGGAGUUUGUGAACGAAAAAUGUUUUGCCCUCUUGUUCUUAAUUCAGUUGCCAUUAGUGUAGAGGUUACUCUGGGAUCACUGUGAAAGGAAUUGAUAUAAUGCCUACAGUGCUGAAAGAAUGUUUCUUCUCUAAAUAAAAAUAUAUGGAAGUUAACAUUAAAAAAAAAAAAAAUACAGUGUUUGGUAACUUAGAAACCACAGUGUUUUACAGAACCAAGAUCAAUCAAAAGCUGCUAUACUGCAUGGCUUAAGGCCUUGUAGAAUUGUACUUUGCACAUAAACAGCCUAACUGUAGUGUAAGCAGUAAUUAUUACCCCAUCUCCUAAUAGAUCUAUUUACACUUAUUUUGUUUGACUGACAUCAUAAAAGGUAAACUAGCUCCAUUUUGUGCGUGGUAUAAAUAUACUUCUGAUUUCAUUGUAAUUGCUUGCAGUAGUUUGUUUUGUCACAGCAGAUGAGACCUUCCCUCAUUCACACUUCUAAAAUCCUCUUGACUUGAUAUAACAGAAAUGUAACUACAAAACUUUGUGCAAGCUAUGAUACAGUGAAUAGCAUUUGCAGUAAUGCAUGAAUCAUAGUUUGCCCUUCUUUAUAUCCAGCUAACAGGGAGUGCUUUGUCGUAAUUUCUACAGUAUGUUUUCUUAUAUCUAGCAGAACAACUGUGUCUUUUGUAACAAUGAACAAGGAACUGCAAAAGUCUCCAAGCUCAGUGCAGGUGUUUACAGCUUUUUUUGCCUUUCUCUUGACGUGUUUUGUGCCAGCACGUGUAAUGGACUGGCUGCUUUUCAGCAUACACUUUUCGCGGGAGCCUGGCAGGAUCCUCCGAAUGUGCUUGCCUCCCUGCAUUACAUCGUGUUCCCUGUUGCAUUCCCUUUCUUGCUCUUCUGCCACACUUUGCUGCCUAUUUGAAUUUUUUUUCACCUUCAGAGCAGAAGUAAUUUGGCUUUUUUAAUUUUACUACUCUUUUAAAGAACUUGUCAUCCUUCUCUAUGCUCGACUGGUUCUCGGCGUCAGCUUGAAGCUGGGCCAGAAGGUGCUUUGGCCCCACUGCAGCUGCCAGCUGCAGGCCUCACGUUUUAUUUCCCAUCCUGCUCUCUGCAGGGCCUGCUCAGAGACCAUGGCACCACACCUGCACUGGCAGUCCUCGGACGGGAGCUGUUUGCAGGGCAUACGGAAAAUAGCCUCCUGUAAGGAUCACCAAUAUGAGUUUUGAGAGCCCUUCUGCAUUGCUAUGUAUGUUUGGAACCAGUAACAGAAAGGGAGGCAUGGCUGCAUGCCAAUGGAGCCUGGGCUACCAGUGUGAGCAGUGCUGAACCCGAAGGGAGGAGGUUGCAAGGAACUGAAAGGAGCGCAGCUAGCUCGACGAUCAUAUUAGCCCCUCAAAAAGCGGGUCUGGGACCUGUGGGUAAAGGAGAGGAAGGCUAUGAGAAAUCUGAACAGCUGCAAUAAUUUGUGUUUGAGAAAUGGACCAUACUCAAGGAACUAUUUCUUCUCAGAAAGACUGGUGAAGCAGUGGCACAGGCUGCUCAGGGAGGUGGUGGAGUCACCGUCCCUGGAGGUGUUCAAGAGCCAUGUGAAUCAUAGAAUCAUAGAAUCACCAAGGUUGGAAAAGACCUAAAAGAUCAUCCAGUCCAACCAUUCACCUGUUCCCAAUAGCUCCUACUAAACCAUGUCCCUCAACACAACAUCCAGCCUUUCCUUGAACAUCCCCAGGGUCGGUGACUCCACCACCUCCCUGGGCAGUCCAUUCCAGUGCCUGACCACCCUUUCUGAAAAGCAAUACUUCCUCAUGUCCAGCCUGAAUCUCCCCUGCCGUAGCUUGAAGCCAUUCCCCCUGGUCCUAUCACUAAUGACACGAGAGAAGAGGCCGACCCCCAGCUGACUACAACUCCCUUCAGGAAGUUACAGAGAGCAAUGAGGUCUCCCCUGAGCCUCCUCUUCUCCAGGCUGAACAUUCCCAGCUCCUUCAGCCUCUCCUCAUAUGGCCUGUGUUCCAGACCCCUCACCAGCUUUGUUGCCCUCCUUUGAACACGUUCCAGGGCCUCAAUAUCUUUCUUGCAGUAAGGGGCCCAAAACUAGACACAGUACUCGAGGUGCGGCCUCACCAGUGCUGAGUAUAGGGGAUGUGGCAACGAGGGACGUGGGCAGUGGGCUUGGUGGAGGAGGGCUGACAGUUGGACUAGAUUGUCUUAGAGAUCCUUUCCGGCCUUGGUGAUUCUGUGACCUCAGUUAUGUGCCUGUGUGUGGAUGAGGUGCCAUACCCUGAAUGCUCUGGAGAUGGCCAAAGGAGGAGCAGGGGACCUACAGGCUGCCUCAGGCCCCUGGCAGUAGCUUCUGAGAUCAGAUAUUCACACCGUGACAUUUCUGCACAGACAGACAGACACAAACAAGCUGACAUGGCUGACAGACAAUCUACAAUCUGUUCAAACUGUGACUAAAUCUAGCAGUGGCUUCUGAGCAGACCUCUGCUCAGAAACCACUGCUGUGUCCUACCUACGCUCAUGUAAUCCCCUGUGUGAAAUGAUGACCCUUCGCUUCUCCCUGAAAUUCAGUGGCAUGCUUUCAUUCCUUAUUUCAAUAUUGUUUUUACUUGAGCAACUUUCAUCAUAGUCCAGCAUUACAUACGGGCCUCAGCACUGCUCAGAAAUAUCAGUAAGAGUAAGAACUGGAAGAGAUUUUUAAAAUGCUAUUCAACUUCUUUUGAAGUCAGCAUGAAUUAAUAUGCAGAAUUGAAAAAGCAUGAUACUAUAGGUUAAAACAGUGUUUGUGCAAGGCUGCCCUUCAGCAAACACAGUUACUCUGAGCAGAAUGCAUUGGUGGUGCGUAUCUACAGUGCCAAAAGACUAUUUUUUAUGGGCUGUGUUGGAAAGAAAUAAAAAUUCAUACCUCAUUUUUUUUGUAAACAGAAAGCAGCUGUUUGCAGCACUAGACAUUAAGCUAGGAACUCCUAAAAGAUUUAUGUUAACUAAGAGCAUUUAAUAAGUUCAUAAUGUGAGCGCUAAUGAAUGAGUUGAUUUUAAUACGAAUCAUAUUUUACCAUAGAAACAUCAUUAUGUUUUGACUACCUACAGUUUAAUUUUAUCCUUAUUUGACAUUCUUGGUAGGCGAGGCCAAAAGCAAACUGGGAUAUCCAGUACUACAGAUCUAGAUAAAAAGAAAAAAAUAAGAGAACUCUGAGAUAAAUCUGAGUCAUCUGAAGCACAGCUGAGAAAACAGAGAAGUGUCUGAACUCAAAGCAGCACUCCCUAGCUGGUAAGGAUGAAGCCCAGCAUCACCAAUCUCACUGCAAAAUGUGUGAAAGGAGGACCACGGUGGUUAAGAAAGAGAGAGAAGAGAGAUCUGGGAGCAAAAAAGAAGGAGGGCUGCUUGGUUUUGCCAAUAUUCUGCUUGCUAGCUGAGAAGCAUGACUAUGUUCUAUUUCAUAGAAUCACAGAAUAUCCCAAGUUGGAAUGGACCCAUAAAGAUCAUCCAACUCUUUCAUUCAUUGUCUCAGCUGCCUUUGUGCAGCGAGGCAGCUGCCUUGCUGAUGGACGGAGAAAGCUGGAUUCUCCAACUACAGGACCCUAACUUCACAGUCACUGAGUAAUUAAAAACAGGCAAACGUGUGCAUGCUUCUUAAAAUACAGCACUGCACUUAUAAAUGUAAUUGAGCUGUGAUUAAUUCCUCACAUUUCAUUAUAAACUAAUACAAAUCCAUUACAGGGCAAUGAAUGGGUCCUGCUAAUAGCAAGUUCAUAUCUUUGUUCUGCACAGUCUGCAGCCACACAAAACUUUGCAAAGGCUGAGCCAACACUAGCGUGAUGUUUUGGUGGCACUUCCUGCCUCCUUUCCACAUAUGAACGGGACAUUGCAAGCUGUCAGUAUGUUUAGUAUCAGAAUCUUAGCACAUCUUGAAAGUCUUGUAUGCAUACUUCUGGGUAUAUUAAAGCAUUUCUGCUGUUCCUGAGCUAAAGAGAAACUUGUUUUUCUCUCCCUUGAAACAAACCCUGUAGGGCCAGAUGGAUAUUAUCUUAUUGCCAGUAACAUGAAGGCAACAUCUCAGAUACGGAUUAUCUCAGAGUUAUCCUUCUUGACAAAUGGACUGUGAAGCCAUAAUUAUUUCAUCUUUCAAAGCAGUUUCCAGUCAUGCCUUAGCCAAAUGAGCACCAACAAAGUCUCUGUAGCGCUGACCAUAGGCGUAUAUUUUCUUUCCCCUUUUUUAUCCUGUGCAUUUCAGGGUUUUUCAUUCUGCUGUGUGAAAGGCAUAUGCAUAGACUAAGCACAUUUAGAGGGCUUUAUGUGUUCCUUGUUUGGUUAGCUCAGUGACAUACAGAAUCCCCCACCAACUAUCUCAUCAGAACCACAACACAUCUGCAUGCAGCCCUGGCUAAAAAGUUCUUCAGAAAUGCCCAUGCUCUGUCAAACACACUGAUUCUUUAACAUUGACUUCUACCAUUUGCUUCUCCCCCCAAAUUAUUGCAUCCGGUUUUACUCCUCAGUCAUUUGGGGAAGCAGAGAAAGGCACAAAAGGGAAAAAAAUAUUGGAGUGUAUUUUUAGUUCCCUUUAUUGCAUUUCAGUACAAUUGCUUUCUGGUUUCAAAGGAAGUAUAACUGAAACUCAAUGUGGUUUUAGAAUAAGGAAAAUGUUAGAUAAAAAAUAACAUUUUAAAUCAGGGAAAUGAUCUCUGAAUUAAAAUACUUUCUUCUUGUGGCUUUGCAGAAUCACCUUCCCUUUGCCUUUAGGGUAGUCAGAACAAUUUUCAUGCCAAACCAAUAUUUGAAUUCUUGUUCUUUCCAAAGAAAACUAGUGGGUGGGUUUCUGUCUGGGAGCUAAACCAGAGAAUUUCCCUAGGGUUUAGCUGCAAUUCAGCUUUGGGGAGGCCAGCAUCCAGUCCAUCAUGCUGGUUUCCAUCAACAAUGGCACGUAGCGUCACGUAGCAGACACAGGAGAGCUUUAUGCUAAGAUUGUUAUGAGGACUGCUCUGAAAGUAAUGCCUCCUAUUUUGUAUGUUGGCCCACAAUGCCAGAGGCAGAUGUUGGUGCUAUGGCUGUAGACGUUGAACCUUCCUAUUAAUACGCUGUUCCAUUUUGGUGCUGUGUGACAGAUGGCAGAAGAGGGGCACUCUGACACAGUGGUGACUGUCAUGGAAGUGUGUAUGAAGCAAAGGUGUGUCACUGAAUUCCUCCACGUGGAAUGGCACCCACUGACAUCCAAGGAUAUUUACUGAAUAUUUCUGGAGACCAGGCAGUGGAUGUGAGCACGCUGAGGUGCUGGGUUGUACCUUUCAGCUAUGUUGACAGCAACAGUGGGACACCAGUGCAGACUGUUACAAGCACAGCAUGCAGCUCUCAUUCAUCACUGGCAGAAAUGCACAGCUAUGGUGGUGACUGUGUUGACAAACAGUGUUUUGUAUCUGAGUUUUGCUCUAUCAAAUGGUGUUAUUAUCUUUGUUUCCAUGGAAAUAAACAGGAGGUAUUACUUUUGGAGCAGUCUACAUACAAUGCCUCCUUUCCCACUGAUCAUGCUAGAAAUGUAGUCUACAGCAAACACCAUUCCUUUUUUUACAGGAGUGAUCCUGUGCUUUCAGGUACAUGGCACAGCAUUCAGCCAUGAGCCAUGUCUUUAACUGGCUGCUAUUGCUAGUUCAACCCAAGAAGAAAACAUUGAGAAUAUUCAGAAGAAAAUAUCCUAUAACAAGUUUAACUUUGCUUUUUGUUUGUUUGUCUGUUUUUGCUGUGCCACAGCUAACAGGGAUGAUUAACAAAGAUGGACAACAUUACAGUCACUGUGGGCAGCUGAAGUUGACCAGGUAAGUGCAGCAUACCAAGUCAAGCAAUGAAGGGGCAUAAAAUUGGCCCUGUGAAAGAAAAAGAGAAGAAACACUCCUCACUUGCAGGAAGAAAAUUUUGACUGGGAAAUACCAGGGAGCUUGCAUGAAAAGCAGUAAGACAAAUAGAUCUGAUCUCUGUGGCCCAUGUCAAAAUUCCUCUGGAUGGCAGCAAGACUGGGAUCCAACUGUAAUCACGCAGCUGCAGCUGCCAGGCAACACUAGUAACCUAUGCACAUGAAUACCUGCAUGUUUCCUCUUAGUGCAUCUUCCAGCAAACACGUCUUUUUGGGGCAGGGUAGUUUUUAACUCUAAUACUCUCGGUGUGCUGCUGAUUGUGCACCAACACAAACUGGGGAAUCAGCUGGAUACAGAUCUACAGAUCUCACCAACUCUUUCUGAGAUGUGUUGCAGAUGGAGCGCAGAGACUCUCAGACUCUAAGAUGAUAUACGAAUCCUGAGGCAAAAGAAGACCUGAACCCAAAUAAUCAGCUGGGGCUUUUCCCAUCUGACUGACCUCCUCUAUAAUCUUUCUGGAUAAUGACGAAAAAUAAGCUGUUUGUUUCACCAAUAAUCUAAUGAUACAGAAUUUGUACUAUCUGCGUAUGCACUCACCUGCAAAAGAUAGAAAUUUGUUUGUAUUUUUUGAGGUAAUAUUUAUGAGCUAAUAACUUUUUAUGUAAUACACGCACUGCUUCUGCAAAUACAAAUUAUAGAUAUACAUGUGCUUUUAAAAUGUGCUAGUAUGACACUUGUAAGGCAUGUUUCUCAAUGAAGAAUUAAUAUUUCUUUUUUUCUCACUUCAUUUCUCAUUGCAAUGCACAAGAAAGUUUCAACUUAUUUUGGCGGACUUGCACUUAGAACUGUGUAGCAUUUAUUUGCAAUACUGCUCUCACAGAAUGUUGCCAUGUUAUUGCACUUCUUUGAAGUUUUUCUCUGAAAGGUUCUUUGCAAAGGCUGUGUAGGAGGCUUUGCUACAGGGAGGUUUGGAAUUGUUUUUCUGAAAAUUGUUCUGAAAAGUCUGUCCUUUUCAAGGUCUUGGCCAGGUGCACAGCUAUUUUCCUCUUUCCAUUUUCUUCAACUCUGCAGCACAGAAUAAUAGUUCCUAUCUAAAAUUUUAUAUAUAUAAUGCAUUGCAGACUCUACCACAUACUUCCCUUUUCAGCAGCUUUAUUGAACACCAAGGCACUUUCAGUGAUUCUUCUGCCUACCUAACAUUCAGUCUCUGAGAUCAGCCAAACACAGGGACCAGUUCUACCACCAUUACAGUCAUGAUACUUUCUUUACAUUACAUUCCCAAACGUCAAUGGAUCUCUCAUAAAUUGUUCAUAAAUCUCAUAAAUCUGUGUCAAGAGUUAACAGCAUCUGUCUCAUGCUCACCUGCAUCACCAAACAGCCUCUUGAGAAAGGUGUCUUCAUGAAUACUGACCAGCCAGCAACAGCACAGCAGCCAGUCCCCCUGGCUCCCUCCAGGUUUCACCACUGCCACAGAAAGGAGAACUGGAGCUCCCAGAGUACUCCAAUGCUAUUCUGCAUGGGAUUUCAGCUCAUCACAACGCAGAAGAAACACUAGAAGCCCAAUGCUCUUCACUCAGUGUUGUCAAGCACGUGUCAGUGGGCUGGUAGAUUGAACUUUGUGUCCAUAAUGAAGAGGAGGAGCCAUGUGGUCUACAGUAAAGACCCCAGUCUGCUUCAAAUGCUGUCGGUUCCUUUCCUGAUGAAUGCCACAAAUAUCCUGCACAGAACACAGCACUGACCUGGUUAAUGCAGCACACUGGGUUGGUAGUGGCACUCUUCGAAGGCUGUUCCUCCAGGAAGCUCACCAACAUCCUUGCAGGAUCAGUCUAAAGCUAUGCUUUGACACUGUGCCUUUUGCACAGAGAGGCAACCCUAAGGUUUUUGCAUAUAUUGAUACAUACAUGAGAAAGCAGAUACUUUCUCUAGUCCCAGGCAGUUGCAGUAAAGAUCCAUAGAGAACCUGAAUAGUCAUAAUUUCUUAGUGUGUUAAGCAGUUCAGACUAUGGAAAGAAGACAUUUCUGAGAAACAGAUUUUAUAGACUGAGCUGAACAGAUUUUUGGCAUUAUUUGUAAGCCAGUCAUUGUUAAGCCUUUGUACUUAGAAGAGCAAUUAUGUCUCCUUUGGAAACAUCCUUAGUUGAACUCUUAAAAUAAUAAAAACACUCCUCCGUAAGACCACAUUAACAUAUGGUUUUCGUAAUGACAGCACAAACAAAUCACCCACUCAUCACACACAUUUAGGAAGAAGACAGGAACAAACAGAACAAAAAAUUUCUACAGAUUACUUAAGAGAUCCUGAUCAAUCAAGGGAAAAAAAAAAAAAAGAAGUGAACUAAACUGAAUUCAGAAUUUGUCUAUGGGAUAUUGAAUACAGAUAAAAUAUGCAUCAUACAAAUAACCAAAACCAAAAAUACCACUGAACUUUGUAAGGCAAAGUUUAUAGAUAUCAAGCUGCAAAACUGUUUUGCAGAAAUGUCAAGCUGAGGAUGCCUAGCUUGCUAGUUUGCUUUUUAACUUUGGUGAUGCAUCAUCAGUAAGCAAGAAAGAGAGAAGGUGUGUUUGCACCAGUGACCAGCUGGAGUACCUUUGCUCCAAGGGGACUUAGCACCCCCCAGAGACUUGUGGGCAAGUCCCAGCCAAACCAGAGCCUUCACUACAUGCACUGCUUCACAUCCAAGAGCAGCAGCAGGAAUCUGCAUUCUUGAAGCUCAUGUGCAUCUUCUUGAGGCUGAGCACAGGGAACAAAUUGGACUACCAGCAGUGGCCAGCACAGCUCCCAUGCAGCUCCCUGCGACAGCAUCAGCAUGAUGUCAGAGCAGAGGAAAAAAGAGCAAAUAAGAUCCACGUUCAAAAUGGAGUUUGUAGUCUGACAGAGACCCAGAGGGAGCCUUUACUGGGAAACAAUUAAAAAAAUGAGCGAGAGCAAAUUCCUCUAAGGAGUGUUUUUGCCUGCAUGUAGUUCUGUUGUUUUUGCUUGCUCUCUUCCAAGUGAAUCUAUGUCUUGUGAAUAAAAGAAUGGAUGAGAAAA